CCGAAAGCAGUUUCUUUCCAGAUGAAAAUUCUUUAAAAAAGCUUGAUCAUAAAAUAAAACAAGCAAUAAUAAUGCCGGGAUGGAAAUAUAAUGGCGUUUUCCGCCCACAAUGAGAUGGGCCAAAAUGAGAGAAUAGAAACAGUUAAUUCUACAACCUCUGGGCCGCGAACUGGCGACUCGGAAUCGAAGGUUUGUAUAUGGUUUUGUACAGCUCUGAAUCAGCCUGGAAAAAAUAUACAUGCACAAAUAUAAAAUUGACAGAAUAACUCGUUUGAUUCCGGCCUGAGAUUCGGUAUUUUUCCCGUGUUGCUACUAUACAUGAUAAUAUUUAAGAAGAACAACUGUUUCUUUUCUCGGUGUUAUAAUGGUAUAAAAAGCGAUAGUUUUACAAGUGUGUUGUGAAUAUUUGUAGUUUAUACCCAAUCCUUCUGCUCAGCCAUUUGUGCCGAAGUGGAACUCAAGUAUACCGGAGAAAUUGAACAGUUACUUGGCACAGG